UUACUUUCAUUUUAAAGUACUGAUGCUUAGGCAUCAAUUUUAUAAUUAGAGCAUUUCCUAUUUGGCCCUCUUUUUGCAAUGUUCAAAUGCAAUGCAUCUUUUGGAAGAUUGCGAUUCUGGAAUAUCCAUACUAUAGAAUUGCUAUGUGUUGCUACACAUCUAAAACCUAAAACUCAGGUAUAUAUUGUAUUGCUUGUUUAGAGCUGUGAAUCUCGCAUUUGCUAAAUUCUAAUGCCAAGAUUAUUCCAGCUGCUUGCAUAUUCACCUGCACAUAGAAAAGUUCAACACAUCUAAAACCUAAAACUCAGGUAUAUAUUGCAUUAAUUGUUUUGAGCUGUGAAUCUCGCAUUUGCUAAAUUCUAAUGCCAAGAUUAUUCCAGCUGCUUGCAUAUUCACCUGCACAUAGAAAAGUUCAACACAUCUAAAACCUAAAACUCAGGUAUAUAUUGCAUUAAUUGUUUUGAGCUGUGAAUCUCGCAUUUGCUAAAUUCUAAUGCCAAGAUUAUUCCAGCUGCAUAUUCACCUGCACAUAGAAAAGUUGAAUAGUUGCUAUUGAACAUUGUGAUUCUAAUGUUAAUUACGGUUGUUGAUGAAACUUAAUCAGGAG
rnacentral:lncRNA from 1 species